rnacentral:rRNA from 1 species
AGUGAACGCUAACGGCAUGCUUAACACAUGCAAGUCGAACGAGAACGGGUUAUAACUUGUUAUAACUGUCAGCUAAGUGGCGCACGGGUGAGUAAUGUAUAGGUAAUAUGCCUCUUACUAAGGGAUAACAAAUGGAAACGUUUGCUAAUACCUUAUACUCCUUAUUAACCUAAGUUAAUAAGGGAAAGAUUUAUUGGUAAGAGAUUAGCCUGUAUUGUAUCAGUUAGUUGGUGAGGUAAAAGCUCACCAAGGCGACGAUCUUUAGCUGGUCUGAGAGGAUGAUCAGCCAGACUGGGACUGAGAACGGCCCAGACUCCUACGGGAGGCAGCAGUAGGGAAUUUUCCACAAUGGACGAAAGUCUGAUGGAGCAACGCCGCGUGCAGGAUGAAGGCUUUCGGGUCGUAAACUGCUUUUAUAUGUGACGAUUAUGACGGUAGCAUAUGAAUAAGGAUCGGCUAACUCCGUGCCAGCCGCCGCGGUAA